rnacentral:rRNA from 1 species
GUGGGGAAUAUUGGACAAUGGGCGCAAGCCUGAUCCAGCAAUGCCGCGUGAGUGAAGAAGGCCUUAGGGUUGUAAAGCUCUUUCGGCGGGGAAGAUGAUGACGGUACCCGCAGAAGAAGCCCCGGCUAACUCCGUGCCAGCCGCCGCGGUAAUACGGAGGGGGCUAGCGUUGUUCGGAAUUACUGGGCGUAAAGGGCGCGUAGGCGGUGCGGUAAGUUAGGCGUGAAAGGCCCGGGCUCAACCCGGGAACUGCGCUUAAAACUGCCGCGCUCUGAGUCCGAGAGAGGAUAGCGGAAUUCCCAGUGUAGAGGUGAAAUUCGUAGACAUUGGGAAGAACACCAGUGGCGAAGGCGGCUAUCUGGCUCGGUACUGACGCUGAGGCGCGAAAGCGUGGGGAGCAAAC